rnacentral:tRNA from 1 species
GAGAGAGGCUUGCUAGCAACGAGGUCUGCUAAACCUCGCUACCUUGGUUGAACUCCUGGGCUCACUCG